rnacentral:rRNA from 1 species
UACGGGAGGGGCAGGCGUUAUUCGUCAUGACUGGGCGUAAAGGGUGUGUAGGUGGUCUUUUAAGUUUAAAGUAAAAUGUUAAUUUUUAAAAAUGACUUUUUAUACUGAUUGACUAAGAGUUUAGGGGAGGAAAAUGGUACUCACAGUGUAGAGGUGAAAUUCGGUGAUAUUGACGGGGACCAACGAUGGCGAAGGCAAUUUUCUAUUCUAAUACUGACGCUGAGACACUACAGCAUGGGGAUCAAACAGG